rnacentral:rRNA from 1 species
AUGGGGGAGGUGGCGGCGCUGCGGCAGCUGGUCGGCCAGGUGCAGGAGCUCUGGGACCUCUACGGCGCCGUCCACGCCCACGCCCACGGCCCCAUCCCCAGGUGGUAUUUACUUGACUUUGAGCAUGGUUCGGUCAAGGAUGAUUAUUGUGGAGAAAGGACUGGAUACAACCCGGAAUUAUUGAAGAUCAUGGAAGCUAACCAAUCUCCUCCUCGCAAGCGACCACGCAGAGACAGAAACCGAGAGAAAGCAUCCUUCCUGAACUCGGCUGAAGCAAUGAAGCUAGAUAUUUGGAGCGAGUUCCCUGAAGACCUUUUUGAAACUGUCAUUGCAAGGCUUCCAGUGGCUGCAAUUUUCCGAUUCCGCUCUGUUUGCCGGAAGUGGUGUUCUCUGGUAGGCUCAGACAAUUUCUCUCAGCAGUACUCUGAAGUCCCACAGGGAAUGCCAUGGUUCUAUACAAUCACACAUGAGAAUGGCAACAACAAUGUAGCGAUGUAUGACCCUUCGCUAAACAAGUGGCACCACCCUUCUGUUCCCCUUGCUCCUGCAAACAUAGUAAUGCCAGUGGCUUCUGCAGGUGGCCUUGUGUGCUUAUUGGAUCUUAGCCACAGAAACUUCUACAUAUGCAACCCUCUUACACAAUCACUAAAGGAAAUUCCUCCGAGGUCAGUCCAGGCAUGGUCAAGAGUGUCAGUAGGGAUGGUGCUGAAUGGAAGAACUUCUAAUGAGGGUUACAAAGUGAUGUGGUUGCGAAAUGAUGGAAAUCAUGAAGUCUACGACUCAGUGCAGAAUAUGUGGUCUCAGCCAGGCGCGUUUCCUCCAAGCAUCAAGCUCCCACUUGCUCUAAAUUUCAGGUCACAGCCUGUCGCGGUUGGCAGCACGCUGUACUUCAUGUGCUCAGAACCCGAGGGUGUUUUGUCAUAUGAUGUAAGCACUGGGAUUUGGAUUCAUUUCAUCAUCCCGCUGCCGCUGCAUCUGACUGACCACACACUUGCCGAGUUCCAGGGGAAGAUCAUGCUUGUGGGCCUGCUGUGCAAAAACGCAGCAACCUGCGUCUGCAUCUGGGAGUUGCAGAAGAUGACUCUCCUCUGGAAGGAGGUGGACAGAAUGCCAAAUAUCUGGUGCUUAGAAUUCUACGGUAAGCACAUGAGGAUGACCUGCCUGGGCAACAGCGGCUUGCUCAUGCUCUCCUUGAAGGCCAAGCGGAUGAACCGCCUCGUGAUGUACAACCUUGUGAGCAAGGAGUGGCAGAAGGUUCCGGACUGCAUGCUCCCUUGCAGCCGCAAGAAGCAGUGGAUAGCAUGUGGCACGGCAUUCAGUCCGUGCCCCUCUGCCUCACCCUGA